rnacentral:tRNA from 1 species
AGGAUUUUAGUUAAAUUAUAACACUUAAAUUGCAUUUAAAAAUUAUAUUCUUUUAAAAAAUAUAUAUCUUA